AACGAACGCUGGCGGCAUGCCUAACACAUGCAAGUCGAACGAGACCUUCGGGUCUAGUGGCGCAAGGGUGCGUAACGCGUGGGAACCUGCCCUUAGGUUCGGAAUAACUCCCCGAAAGGGGUGCUAAUACCGGAUAAUGUCUUCGGACCAAAGAUUUAUCGCCUUUGGAUGGGCCCGCGUUGGAUUAGCUAGUUGGUAGGGUAAAAGCCUACCAAGGCGACGAGCCAUAGCUGGUCUGAGAGGAUGAUCAGCCACACUGGGACUGAGACACGGCCCAGACUCCUACGGGAGGCAGCAGUGGGAAAUAUUGGACAAUGGGCGAAAGCCUGAUCCAGCAAUGCCGCGUGAGUGAUGAAGGCCUUAGGGUUGUAAAGCUCUUUUACCCGGGAUGAUAAUGACAGUACCGAGAGAAUAAGCUCCGGCUAACUCCGUG
rnacentral:rRNA from 1 species